rnacentral:rRNA from 1 species
AGGCAGCAGUGAGGAAUAUUGGUCAAUGGGCGGAAGCCUGAACCAGCCAAGUCGCGUGAGGGAAGAAGGCCCUGCGGGUCGCAGACCUCUUUGGACGGGGAGCAAGGCCGCGGACGUGUCCGCGGAAGGAGAGUACCCGUAGAACAAGCAUCGGCUAACUCCGUGCC